rnacentral:snoRNA from 1 species
CUGGCCCUGAAUCAAAGCUGGCAGUUUCUUCACACUUGGUUUGAAGCAGUAGCUAAAUGAUGUCUUUCUAUGGUUUGUUAGCCAUUUCAGAACUUGGGAAAUUGAUUGGUCAAUUCACUAGAAGUAGUUUAAC